AUGAAACGGAGCUGGAUCUUCCUCUUGCUGGUGGCAGCAGUUACAGGUGUACACUCCCACGUCCAGCUGCAGUAGUCUGUGGCUGAGUUCUGGAAACCUGGGGCCUCAGUGAAGUUGUCCUGCAAGGCUUCUGGCUACACCUUCACCAGCUACUACAUUACCUGGGUGAAACAGAGGCCUGGACAGGGCCUGGAGUGGAUUGGAUGGAUUUAUCCUGGAAAUGGUGAAACUAACUACAAUCAGAAGUUCAAGGGCAAGAUCACACUGACUGCAUACAAAUCCUCCAGCACAGCCUACAUGGAGCUCAGCAGUCUGACAUCUGAGGACUCUGCAGUCUAUUAA